rnacentral:rRNA from 1 species
UACGUAGGUGGCGAGCGUUGUCCGGAUUUACUGGGCGUAAAGAGCGCGCAGGCGGUCGUACAAGUCGCGUGUGAAAGCCCCCGGCUCAACUGGGGAGGGUCACGCGAUACUGUUCGACUCGAAGGCAGGAGAGGGUAGUGGAAUUCCCGGUGUAGUGGUGAAAUGCGUAGAUAUCGGGAGGAACACCAGUGGCGAAGGCGACUACCUGGCCCAUUCUUGACGCUGAGGCGCGAAAGCUAGGGGAGCAAACGGG